AAACCUGGAGCAUGUAGAUACAGCUUUAGGUGAGAAAGGAGUUCAAAACAAAUGGCGCUGGGCAUGAAUAGAGGACAAGA